GGGUAUAUAGCUCAGCGGUAGAAUGUGUGCUUAGCAUGCACAAGGUCCUGGGUUCAAUCCCCAGUACCUCCA
rfam:Camelus ferus unplaced genomic scaffold scaffold871, whole genome shotgun sequence.